CGGCUUGGUUUCCUGGGGCGUGGGCUCAGCCUGCCCCACCUCCCCUCAGCCGAGCCUAGAGCACAGAGGCCUGGCUCCCCAACCCCCACGGGAGAGGUGCCUGAGACGGGCGCCUGGCCCCGGGCUGGCCUUGCCUCACAUUU